rnacentral:rRNA from 1 species
CCCGCACAGCGGAGGAGCAUGUGGUUUAAUUCGAUGAUACGCGAGGAACCUUACCUGGGCUCGAACGUAAGAUGACUGUAGGUGAAAGCUUACAUCUCUUCGGAGCAUUUUACGAGGUGCUGCAUGGUUGUCGUCAGCUCGUGCCGUGAGGUGUCGGGUUAAGUCCCAUAACGAGCGCAACCCCUACCUUUUAGUUGCCAUCAGGUAAUGCUGGGGACUCUAAAGGAACUGCCUACGCAAGUAGUGAGGAAGGCGGGGAUGACGUCAGAUCAGCACGGCCCUUACGUCCAGGGCUACACACGUGCUACAAUGGCCGAUACAGAGGGCAGCUACCUGGUGACAGGAUGCAAAUCUCCAAAGUCGGUCUCAGUUCGGAUCGGAGUCUGCAACCCGACUCCGUGAAGUUGGAUUCGCUAGUAAUCGCGCAUCAGCCAUGGCGCGGUGAAUACGUUCCCGGGCCUU